UGUUUAAUUGCUCUAAUCAAGUAAAUAAAACCCUUCACAGCUGACCUCGGUGUUUUCGCAGAUUUUGUGAUAUUACACAAUGGAUGGAGACUUAGAACAAAAGCACAAGUGCAGGUUCAGCCAUUCUGAAAUAAAACCUGUGUAUAUGCAGAGCCUCUGAUGAUAUAAAGAAAAUUCCAGCUGAGACAAUCUUCCACUUAUUUGUUUCAUGAUCAUAUGAACAAGCAGAGAAUGUCCUAAGCUUUGUUCCCAGUACCCAGGCUGACAAGCUGUCUGGAGUCAGAAUAACCCUGGCCUCAUACUUCUUCCUACAGUCUCCUACUGAGUGUAAAAUAUGGCUGUCUUGCAGUUUGAAUAAGGCUUUUAAUAUGCUAUGGGAUGUCACGGUCCACAGAAGUGGAAUACAGUGUUCUGCUUGCUGUGAAAUAGAAAAAAGCUAACCAAACUGGUUCCUUCCUCCUGAGUACAUAGUGACUGGUUUGAAGUUCAGUCACUGAGACUAAAAAUAUCAGCUUGAUCACAAAGGAAAGAAAAACAUUCGACAGAUGGAUUUCGUCUUCCUUCAGCAUGAACAUCUAUUUGCCACUAAAAGUUUGGUUACAACGUUGAAGCCAAAUAAUGUGAUCUCUUCUCAAUCCAUCAAGAACAGUCUGUGGCUUAAGGUGGAUGCUAUUUCAGUGCUCUCAUAGAAAGCAAGCUAUUUGGAAGGUUGUACACGGCUGGGGUAAAAGAAAUGUUUAUUUAAGAAUAUAAAGAGAAGCAACUCUUAAGAGUGGGCUUUUGUUCCACUGUAGGGCUGUGCUCACCUGAGCUGAGGUGCUGACUCUGUCCUCACACCCGCACAAAUGGGCACAGAUUGCUCUAAUGAGAACAGGCAGUGCUUGGUGUGAUGGUGCAAAUGGUGGUGGUUAUAGGAGAAGUGUCAGGAACAGCAAACAAUUGGGUGGCAUCAAACAUCGCUAGAGUUGCUAAGUUUCUUACAGGUUUCUCACCACCUUUUUACCUCCUCGUCUUCCAGAUAAGUUGCAAUUAAGACCUACCUGUGGUCAUGACCAUUAUCUGAUAUGAGAUGUCAUCAGCAAAAUAAACACACAUUGCUUUGUGUCAAACUUUUCUCAGUGAUCAGGAAAGUCCAUGGGGAAGGUGUAUAUCAGCGCUGAGGUAUGCUGAGGUGUGACAGCUAAAGGACACUUUCUGGAAAUCUUUGCUUCUUCCUCACAGCCUGUACCAAGGAGGACCCUGCCAUGGCCCUGAUUCUGAGGAUUACGAGUGCAUUUCAUCAUUUUAUGACUGAAACCAGCACAGAGCUGUGUUUAUUUUCAAGCUCUACAGAGUGCUGUUUUACUGUGUUGGACUCAACCAAGGCUACUGUCCAAUUUUAAUAGAUGUAUUUUCCACAGGAAAUUAAUGUAUUGUUUCCCCAAAGCUAUUUCAGUCAGCAAACCUCGCUGCAGGCUGCCUGAGCUGAACGUUACUUCAGCUGGCCAAACAAAUCAGGUGCUCUCAGACAGUCCUCUGCCUAGUUUUGGCCAAGUGAGCUGUGACAGUCCGAGGGCUACCACCGGGAGCUGAACAACCCUACGUAUUUUUCACAUGGAAAACCAUGUACGGAGAGGUUCCUAAUUGCUGUGUUAGUUCUUUGGCAAUCGGUACUGUGUGGAGUCACCAUCACUAGAAUAUUUAGGGGAGGAAUACCAGCACUGUACCAGCCUGCAGCAGCUGUACCAUGUUGCUGAAAGACCAGAACACAUAUUCUCCAGGCCUAGAAGCAAGGGAUUAUAGAGGUACUUUCAGAAGGUACCCAUGUGACUGAGAAGUGUAUGCACCAUUUUUAAAAAGCCCCUUGCUGAGAGAUGAUGGGCUGGGUAGGGCCUGCAGAGAAAUCAAAUGGACGUUUUCAAAAACUGUACCCCUUAUUUUAAAAGAAAGGAAAACGUGAGGCAAUCGCAGCUGAUUCAGCAUCCGGCAGUCUCAGCCAAGUCAUAUUUUACCUCUUCCCUUCCCUCCCCGCACAAAACUUCCAGGAAAACCUGCAAAGAAAAGGCAUAUGUGGGUAGGAGGAGACCUGCUUUUAAUUUCUGUACCUCCUAUUCAACACAAUGCCACACAAUGUACAGGAUGCGAAUAUCCCAAGACACCUCAUACAAUACAAGUAACAAAAGCACACACACAUGCACAAGAAAGGGGGAGAAGCAAGCAUGGCAGAGUUACAAAGCAAAGUGCAGGUAAAGCUAUCUCUAAAGUAUCUCUAAUGUAAAGGAGCUCCAUGAAAAAUUCAUCUUUAGAAAAGGGAAAUGGGGGACUGGAGAAAUAUUUCAGUGAACAUGAGAACUAGAUUUCCAUUUCAAAGCAGUAUUUACCUAUUUUUCUCUGCUGUGUUGUAUGUAGUGGCCAGGUCUUCAUUACCAGCAAAGGAGGAGGUCCUAAAGAGGUCUUUGCACUGAGGUGCAACAGAGAUGCUCCUAUGGUUGGUCUACAGAGCAACCUGGUGUCUAUAGAGCACUGAGUCCCAUAGUGGCUGUGAUGAUAGCCUAAAGAAAUGGCUGAGGUUUGAAGUGUAUCACCACAGCUGUAAAGGUUUUCCCCUUCUUUCGGCUGAGGGGAGUGCAGGUAGGGUCUGCUCACUCCCAGGAAAUACCACCUGGCCUGGUUAAAGGAGAUCCUUCUGGAGAUGGGACCACAUCCAUGUCUUGGUGAAGUGCAAAGUGCCUGGAGCAAUGCUCAGCAUUACAGCUCCUGUCAGCACUCAGUGAAUGCAUCAGAGCCUGAUCAAAGAAAUCCAAGGUUCCUCCAAGCCUUUUGCUGAGGCAUGGUUCUGCAUAUCCAUCAGAAUGACCAUGCUGUGGGUGAAGCACCAGCUCAGGCACAAUUCACUCAAAGUUUGUGAGCUUGCAGAGUUUACAAGGAAAACACCAUGUCUGAGCCAGCCACUCUUUAACGUUUGUCUGGAGUUGCUGUGAGAUUUUUACAGCAAGGAUGUAUUGUUUUCAGAUAGGAAUGAAAGCAAAAUACUUCAAACAAUCAAUCAAACAAACAAAUAAAACCAUGGGACAUGAUCUUUACAAUAUAUUUAUUAGAAAGGACAAUUUUUUUAACAUACAAAAAUAGGGCUUCAUAUGUAGAUAGAAAGACUAGAUGACUUUUAGUCACAAGGCUACUGACUGGUGCAUCAAAAUCCAAUGUGAAUAUACAGAGGCAGAGAGGAGAAACUGCAGGAAGCAGAAGAGGGCUAUAGCCAUGAAUCACUUCUCCCUGUGGAAUGGGGUCACUAGAGUAACUUGUUUAACUGAUUACGUAUUUCUUCAGUGUUUGAGAAAAAAAAAUGAAGCUGGUACUUUUUCAUUGUACUUGUGUGUUGAUCAACAGUUGCUACCAGUAUGGUGUAAUUAGAGUGGGCAAAGAGGAUCAUUUUGAGAAUCUCAGCUGCCUAACUCUAUAUCCAUAUCACAAGCAAUAUCUCAUUCUUCCUUAAUGGAUGUUCAGUUACUGCAUCAAAUAUGUGCUUUGUUUAAUGUUAUUGGAAACGGCAGUAAGAAGAAGAAAGAAAACAGCAAAAAGCAGAGAAAUAUUUGUUAGUAUUGUAUAUUGUGAAGUGUGAUGAUAAAGAAGAUUUUUAUAAUGGCUCUUGGAAGUCUCACUAAUGGAACAAAAUGUCCCCUGCCCACCAGCAGCCACAGAGCUGCAGCUGUGUGCCGCUUAAAACUUCUGCGAAGGACAUAGAUUUAUUAUGCUGUGUAUCACCACUUCCUAUAUUUCUGACAGGACUGCACUCUGGCUUUUGUUUUUGUUUUUCUAAAAAAAAAAAAUAUAUAUCAAAACAAACAAAUGAGGCACUGCUGUAGAAAGGAAGGGUAAUCCUAGCUGCAUGUAGAGGUGUCUUUCACGGUUAGAAUGUGUUUCAUAGAACUGUAGAAUCACAGAAUGGCCUGGCUUGAAAAGGACCAUAAUGAUCAUUGAGUUUCAACCCCCCUGCUAUGUGCAGGGUGGCCAACCACCAGACCAGGCUGCCCAGCGCCACAUCCAGCCUGGCCUUGAAUGCCUCCAGGGAUGGGGCAUCCACAGCCUCCUUGGGCAACCUGUUCCAGCAUGUCACCAGAUGUUUAGGAUGUUUGAAGACAUAUCUAAAUAAUUGUUUUGUAUUAACUGAGGAAACGUCACUUAAAUAAUUGGUGAACUUUUGUGUGUUUGUGCUCUGUAAUCAAUGCCACGUGUUUUAAUGGGCGUUUGGAUAGAAA
ensembl:lncRNA